rnacentral:rRNA from 1 species
UACGUAGGGACCAAGCGUUGUUCGGAUUUACUGGGCUUAAAGGGCGCGUAGGCGGCGUGACAAGUCACUUGUGAAAUCUCCGGGCUUAACUCGGAACGGCCAAGUGAUACUGUCGUGCUAGAGUGCAGAAGGGGCAAUCGGAAUUCUUGGUGUAGCGGUGAAAUGCGUAGAUAUCAAGAGGAACACCUGAGGUGAAGACGGGUUGCUGGGCUGACACUGACGCUGACAGCGCGAAAGCUAGGGGAGCAAACGGG